rnacentral:lncRNA from 10 species
UCUACUAGAGUCAUAGAUGACAAGUCCCAGUCCUUAACUUGGUAGGAUGAAUACAGAUCACAGCAUAGGAAGACUGGGGUACCCUCAGGCCAAGGGCGAGCACGGAUCACUGAGUUGGGGAUGGCCAUCAGGAGCAAAGGGCCAUUGCCGCCCUUGACCAAAGAAGCACUGUGGCAUUUGGUAGGCAUUGAAUCCAUCCCAGCCAGCCAGCUGCAACGGAGCAGGAACCUCAUGUCGGGGACGAUUAUACUUGGAAUCAAGAGUAGAGAAAUCAAUAUCCUUAUCCUCCAAAAGAGGAAAUUUGGUCUUUUGAAUCACAAGGGACAUGCUUCUCUCUUCUUCUACAACAUGAGGCACAGUAUUGUCAAAAGCAAUGAACCGUUUGUUGACAAGGGUCUCUAGCCCCUGUAAUUCCUGCCGCCCUUUUCCAAGGUAGACAAAUCUGGGUACAAAUACUGUUUCAAACAUAAAGAAGAAGCUAGGAAGGAAGGGUUUAGGGACUUCUUGUAUUUCAUCUGCAUUUUUUAGGAUACGCAGGUGAACCAGCUGAGCUGGAGGGAGCAGCUUUAAGCAAGAUACUAUGUAGAUACGCUGGUUGAAAGUCAACAACAGGUCACUUCGAUUACUGGCAAAGCAGAGUGGUCCAAAAUGCAGGGCUGAGUCGAACUCGGUUACAAGUCUACCGUGGAAGUCCCAGAUCCGGACUGAGCCAUCAAUGCCACCUGUGACAAAAAGUUUCAGGGGAAGGCAGACAUCAAAUGAAGUGAUGUCACACUCAUGCAGGCAUUUUGUCUCUCUCCACACAAAGCUCUGUUUUGAUUCUGAAGAUGUCAGAAAGCCUUCAUAGUGCCAGAGACACCAGCAGUAGCUUUCAGUGAUGGCACCCACAGAACCUGGCAAGAGUAUCACACGUUUUAGGGGGCAGCCACAGAGGAUUUUGCUGACAGGCUGAAGGACUACCUUGUUCACCUGAAGCACGGCCUCUGUCAAGUGUAUGAUGUUAUCCGUGCCAUAGGAACAGAGCAAGGCGUUUCCCUGAGGGCCUUCCAGGGUAGACAAUGCCAAUACUGCCCCAGAGUGAACAGUCUUCUCUAUUCGGGCACAACUAUAGUGGGAAAGGGUUCUCACAAUGCCACUCUCAUGCCCACAGAACAUCAAUCCUCCUAGGCCUUUUUGCAGAUGGGACCUCCCAUAGGCCAAGCAUCUUACUGUAUCCUUACGGUCUGCUGAAGUGCACACAAGAUACUUGGCUGUACAAGGAGAGCGUGUUGCAUCAAACACCAGCACCUCUGAACUGCCUAUUGCCACAAAGAGUUCCUCUCUCUCUGAGUCAUAGGCCCAAGCCAAAGCCUUAUCCAUAACAAGUAGAGGCCAAGUGAUAACCAGGAGAUCCCCUGUUACUGGAGACAAGAAGCGCAAUAAACCAUCCUCAGUGGCACAUAGAAUCCGAGUCCAGUUAUGGCCGCAGCAGACCCGCUGCACUUGCUGGGGAGCAGAACCACAGACAUUGAAGAGGCUAUAAAAGUAGGGCAGGUGAUGCAAUGAAAAACUGUAGGUGGUCUGGCAGAAAAAAGUGGUAUUAUCAAUAAACUGCAGUCUCUGAAGAUCCUCGUCAAUAUUCAGCUGCCGCAGCAAGUUCCCAUAAGUGAGAUUCCAUUCCCUCACUAUGCCUUCACUGCCUGCUGUUAGUAAGGUGUGGAUCUCUGGCCGGCUAUGGAUACAUAUCACUGAUGAGGAAUGGGCUUGAAAGCUGUGGAGGAAGUUACCUUGGUCUAAACCCCAAGCGUGGAUCUCUCCAGCCCUGUUUCCAGCAUAGAAAUUGCCCUGAGAGACACAAGUAAAGGAGCAAGUGAUGGAAGAGCCACUGGCGACAGGAGUGAACUUCACUUCUUCCAGCUGGCCCUGACCCCGGUGAAUGAAGACCCUCACUGUAUCCUCACACAGAGCCAACAGGGAUCCCUGGGGGCCAUUCAGGGAAAAUCCCUGUACAAGCUCAUGAUCAGCCAUAGGUACUAUUUGAGCCAUCUCGAUGCCCAUGCCAUUUGGUAAGAUAAACCAGGUAACCACAGCCCCCAGGGUACCAGAGAGCAGCAACUCAGCUUCUGGAUCAUAGAAGAGGCAGCUGGUGGAGAAAUGACAGGGCACUGUACCCAGAAAUCUGAACGUUCGACGGUGAUCUCCAAAAAGCCUCAGGCGCAUGUCACCACAGUAAGCAAUUAACAUGUGGUAGGAACCUGUGUGGACCAUUGCUUGAAUGGGCGGCCACUGAUCCAUCAUGCGAAGCCUCAUCUUCUCUACCAUUCCUUUCAUUUCUGUACCCUUUUUUUGUAUCCAAAGUACUGCCUAGAAGAGGAUGAGAGAUGAAAGCCUGACUGUGGAGGUGGAUCAUUUUCCAAAGUGUGGGGUAGGGAAGGCUGAAUAUUCAGAUCCCUGUUCCCUCUGGUGUGACUAAGGAAAGACUAGACAGCUUGACUUUAGGAAUCUCCUAGUACAGCAGCUCCCACUUACCCAUGGUUUCCCUUUCUGUGGUUUCAACUACCUGUGUGGUCAACUGCAGUCCAAAAAUAUCAAAAGAAAAAUUCCAGAAAUAAACAAUUCAUAAGUUUUAAA